GUGUGAUAACGAGGAACUAAAAGGGCAAUUUGAACACACUGAUAAUAUCAGUUUCUUGUACUUCGGUGAGCUUAGUGUUGAUGAGAAAGAGAUGCUCUCAGAAAAAAUUUCUGGGCUUAUGCAAAGUAUUGGAGUUCCCUCUCUUUCGGAGGUCAUAACCCGGGAAGCAAUAUUUUAUGGUGUGGAAGAUAACAAGGAUAAAGCUUUAUUGCUGGACUGGGUUCUUCCUUUUGCACAGCAUUAUAUCUGCAACAUGCACCCUGAUAAAUACUCUCUUCUCAAGCAAUCGGGCUUGGAAAACAUGAGUCACCUACAAGUGGUUGUGUUGAUAAGCUAUUUUAUAAAUAUACCUUAAAGGGUAGCAACAGUGCGUCAAGUGGACGUUCAGAGUGCAGUUGUCUUAUUCAGGGUAAUAUCUUAUAUGUGACCCGAGAUUCAGAUACCCACUCAGUAUUCCUGGAG